AGAGAGAGACAUGCGCGCAUAUCAAUAAGCGGAGGAAAAGGAAACUAACAAGGAUUCCCCUAGUAACGGCGAGUGAAGCGGGAAGAGCUCAAAUUUGAAAUCUUAAAGGGUUUCCCUUUACGAAUUGUAGUUUAAAGAAGUGUUUUCUGUUGAGGUUUUGGUAAAAGUUCUUUGGAAUAGGACAUCAUAGAGGGUGAGAAUCCCGUAUUUGACCUUUACUUUCAACUUUGUGAUACACUUUCAAAGAGUCGGAUUGUUUGGGAAUGCAGUCCAAAAUGGGUGGUAAAUUUCAUCUAAAGCUAAAUAUUGGCGAGAGACCGAUAGCGAACAAGUACCGUGAGGGAAAGAUGAAAAGGAACUUUGAAAAGAGAGUUAAACAGUACGUGAAAUUGUCAAAAGGGAAGCGUUUGACACCAGUGUUGUUUUUCUGAAAAUCAAUUAAAGAACUGUUUAUGCUAAGCUUGUUUAGACUUUAUCAGCUAUCUGUUUAGUUUUGAGCUUUUCUUUAAUGCACUUUUCAGUUAACAAGUCAACAUCAAUUUCUUUUGCUGUAAAAAAGCUUGAGGAAGGUGGCUUGAGAUUCGUCUUAAGUGUUUAUAGCCUCUUGCCUAUGCAGUCGGAGAGAUUGAGGUCUGCAGCGUAGAUCCUUCGGGGCUAAAUGCAUUUGUGCUAAGUUAUAGCAUUUUAUAGACAACUUGUUGACUAUGAUUUGUCUUGUAGCUUACUCGCUUAUGUUAUUUUACCUACGCUUAGGAUGUUGAGCGCAUGUCUCUCUCU
rnacentral:rRNA from 1 species